AAAACAUGUUUGGGACAUUUUCACAGAAGUUCCUUGAACAUUUUCCAUGCCUCAAAUAAAGACUCCAAUUCCAUUUGCAUGAAGGAAGAAAUCUCAUUCUUAAGCUU